rnacentral:lncRNA from 1 species
UCCAUUCAAUGCUUGAUAAUCCUUUCCUCUAUAAAUAGGCAUCAUAAGAGCUCACAUUCACCUACUCAAGCACUAUCUCUAGUAUUCAAAAGCUAAAUCUCUUCUAUUUUUCCAGCAGUCCUUCUCCUAACAUGUCUGGACGAUCUUCAAAACGUUCCCGAUCCAAACAUGGCGCAUCUGCCUCAACCGCCCCUCCUCCUUUAAAUUUUCCAUACCAAGACGGUUCCGUCUUGUUCUUUGAAAAUGAAAAUGAACUCANNNNNNNNNNNNNNCCAAGACGGUUCCGUCUUGUUCUUUGAAACUGAAAAUGAACUCACAAGGUUCCUAUCAAAAUUUGAGAAACGCACCAUUCUUCCUCCUCGGUUCUUAAAUAGUAAACUCCUUGAGCCUUUCACCCCUGCCGCAAAUAUGUUAAAGGAGUGCCAACUAUAUGACUUCUUACUUCUCACUCAUCCUCACAUAAACACAACUCUCGUUCAAGCUUUUUACUCAGACCUCCAUAAAAAUGAAGAUGGCGAACUUGUCACCUCCAUUAAUGGGGUUCAAAUUCUUCUCU